rnacentral:lncRNA from 1 species
UAGAAAGUUCUUAUAAAAGUUAAAGUUUACAAAUCUUUUCAGCAACAUUUCCAAAAUUGUUCCUCGUACUUCUGCUUCUCACUUUCUGUACAUAUAUACAAUAUAUGAUAUCGCCAUUUAUUUACUUUGAUCAUUUUUCUACAUGUUGGAAUAAACCAAUUUGCAUUGGCAAACAUUCCAUUGGCUAUCCAUACGUUGCCACUAAUUCAAUCAUAAAAAGAUGUGGAAAACUUAAAAUGGUUUUUGGUCAUUUCACUUUGUUGUAGCUGUUGUAAGUAAAUCUGCCAUAAGCUAUAUAUUUCGAACAACCCAUUCUUUACAUAUUUCUCCUGUUCUUUCCCUGGUCAUUCCUAAUGCCAGAAAAUGGGGAAGGACCCUUGGAAUUGGAUGUCUAUGACUUUAAACGACCUUGUGUUACCCUUGCCAUGUAUAAUGUUGAUCAGGUUAGUCUUUACACAACUCACCUGCAUAUUGAAUCUUUUCUUAUGCCACUUUUACAGCCUUUUCCCUCAUCAUUUGGAUUUUUGUGAAAAUUUGUUGGCCUAUUCAAGCGUUUGCAAAAUCGUAGAGGCAAUGGCAUUUGUAAACAGUGGUCUCUCCUCUUGAGCAUAAAGAAUACAAUUCUUAAGAAGUAUGAUGGCGGGUAAUUUGUUUAUGAAAAGCUUGGUCAAGCGUUAUAAUAUUAAUAAAAUGAAAUAUAUCUGUAUAAUACCAUUUACAUCAAUAUUUUCACUAUCUCAGGUUCAACCGUUCAAGGAUAUAUUUAAGGAGUUACAUGAAUAGAAGUGGACGAAGCAACUUGAAGAACACUCACUAUGGUUGAUUUUUAUAUCUUUGAUGUAUAUAAUCUUAAUGUGCCCAUUCACAUUGUUUUCUAGACAUAUAUGCUUCCCCUAGGUAUGAGCAUCGGUUGUUCGAUGACAUGGUGGCAUACAUCGUGAAGAGUGAUGGUGGAUAUGUUUGGGCUUGUAAGAAUUAUGUCAAAUAUGUCCAACAUGAUUUACUUACAC